rnacentral:lncRNA from 1 species
AGGCCGCCCUGCUAGGGCCGGAGGGAGGUGGGCACGCCGGGCUCGGGACCUUCCCGGGGUCCUGCGCCCGCCCGGCCUCCCGCCCUGGGCAUGGUUGGCCCACUCCUCCCGCAGCCACCAACCUGACAGCCCCCGAGGGCGACUCCGCCGACAGACCGCCAUGCACCGGGCCCCGCCACCAGCGCCGGCCCCACAACCCGCCUGCGCCAUAGCCCGCCCGCCCGCGCGCAGCUUGCCUCGCGCGAUAUCCAGGUUCCAGGGCCGCCGCACUUUCCUUUCCUCUUGGCGCGCCUCUACCGGGCCCCGGAACCCGUAUAGAAAAUACCGGGCACGGUCCACCCCGCCCCCCGCUUCGCCGCGGCAGCCAUCCAACUUAUCCUGGUUCCGGGGCUCCUGGAGCCCAGGCGGCCGGGAUCUGAACCGAGCUCUUCGGAGCCCCGCCCCCACCAAGGCCGGGGUGACGCAUGGCCAGCGAGGCUGAGCGCCCAGGGAAGGCGUGCUGACGUCACGACGCCCGGGUCAGGGCCUGGGCGCGGCUCGGAGCCGGGUCGUCGCUAUAGCAAUCGGGAACCGCUACCUGUCCAUUCCAAGGAUUCGGUCCAGCAGAAGCGUGAGGAGGUGGCGGAGGCCCCGAGGGCUUUGCGUCAUCACUUCUGCGGCCUGCGGGCGAGAAGGUGCGCUUCGGGAGUAGCGCGGGAGGACAGGAGGCGCAGGUUGUGAGGGACGCAGGCCCUGGGGCUUCGGUCUCUGUCCUCCGAGCUCAGAGCCUCCAGGCUUCUUCCCGGCCGCGCGCUCAGCACUCACUGUCUUACGGUCCCGAAGCGCUUUAAGGUGCGCAGUCCGCAGGCCUUGCCUACUGAUCUUCCAGCCACCCCUUGAAGGAAGCAGUUGCAGGUAUUAAGAGCUCCUUAUUGAAAAGGACGAUGUAGAGGGGCGGUGAGGGACUCGCCUCCGCAGGGAGGGCGCCCUGGCGGUCUUCUCAGGUUCUCUCUCAUUCCCGCGUCAGCUCCACCGUCAGGCUCGAAACCGACUACUCCCUUUUGUAGGCUUGCUUUGGGUUGAACAUAAAAACCAAGCCCCUUUACUAUUUCCCUGCUGGGAGGGGCUGCGAUUGGGAAAUUUUCAGAAACCUGAGGGAAAAUUAAAAGGGAGCGAGCUUUCGGUAAAAAAUCAAAUUAAAAAGGAGGGGCGUUAGAGAAGGAACUGGUAAAGAUUGCCUUUUAGGAGAGGAACUGGGUGGCUGGAAGAAUGAGGUGAGAAACUUUCCCCUCUCUAUCCUUUCAGACUUUAACUGGUUUCUUUUGUAUCUUCCCCGCCCCGAAAACAAUUUAACUUAAUAAGAAUAAUUUUUAAAGGACGUAAACUAGACACAGUUACAAAGUACGGGGUUUGGGGCUUGUGGUAGCUAAAGGUGUCUUUGGGGAUGCGGGCAUCCUUUUCCUCUCCUGCCUGAAGAGCUUAACUAGAAAGCCCCCCUUUCGGUCUUAGACAUCCCCUCUUCCUGACUUGUUCUGGCUGGGACCAGAGUUCAGUUUAGGUAGGCCAGUGAGUGACAUUUGAUGGUUAGAAUUCCUACGGUUAGAAUUAAUCCCUUCUGUAUCUCCUAGUAUGGAAAUAAACUGCCUGGCCACUAUGCUGCCCUCUUUCCAUUCCUUUUUGGUGGAAGUUUGACAAGUUAUUUCCCAUAGAAAAUAACUUAUAGGCCGGGCGCCGUGGCUUAAACGCCUGUAAUCCCAGCACUUUGGGAGGCUGAGGCGGGCGGAUCACGAGGUCAGGAGUUCGAGACCAGCCUGGUCAACAUAGUGAAACCCCCCCUCUCUACUAAAAAUACAAAAAAAUUAGCUGGGCGUGGUGGCGGGCGCCUGUAAUCCCAGCUACUCCGGAGGUUGAGGCAGGAGAAUUGCUUGAACCCGGGAGGCGGAGGUUGCAGUGAGCCAAGAUCGCACCAUUGCAGUCCAGCGCGGGCAACAGUGUGACUCCGUCUCAAAAAAAGAAAAAAAAAAAGAAAAAGAAAAAGUACCUUAUAGAUACAGAGAGAAGAUUAAGUAGCUCCUCUUAUAAUAUGAAUUGAGGGUUAGAAAUACCGCAGGGAAUAGAACUCAGGCUGUACCUGAGUUUGUCCCUCUCCAACCACCCUUUUUCCAUAGCUCUCUCUGUAUAUAUAUAUCUGUCUUUUCUCACAUUCCUUACGGAUCGUAAUCUGAUGGCCAGUCACCUCUGCAAUUAUACAUUUAACAAGAGCUCUGGGAAACAGUGUCUGAAUCUGAAGUAAUGAUCCUAAUGGAAGGUAAUUUCAGGUUCUCAGGAGAAUUGGUGAGGAUAUUUUGGAGGGCAGUAUUGAAGACCAUUGCUAGCAGUUUCUCUCCUAUCCCUUCCACUCAACAUAUAGGCUGGUGAUCUUCAGACAUUUUUUAGAAUGAACCCAUAAAAGAAUUUUGAAGAGCUAUGUACCUCUUGUUCAUUUUUAAGUUGAUACCUAAAUUUUCCUUCAUUAAUUUAAAUACUUAUAGAGGAUACAAUUUCAAAUUUUGACAUCUUAAACUAAGACUUACAUCAUUCUUUUUUUCUGAGACGGAGUCUCGCUCUGUCAACCAGGCUGAGAUCGUGCCACUGCACUCUAGCCUGGGCUACAGAGUGAGACUGUCUCACAUUAAAAAAAAGUAUCCGGUGGAUUCCAAGUACCCUAAAAAUCUAAUGCCUACCAUCAUCCACUUAAAAAUAUAUGAACAAGCUCUUCAACAGAAAUUUUAUAUGGUUCUCUUUCUCCUUAUACUUUGAAUUCCAUUCACUUCCUGUAAUCAUUAGUAUAUAACUUACUAAACUUUUUUUUUUUACUAAAUAUUACUAAAUACUAAAUUUUCCUAAAUAUUUUUAACAUUUUUAUGACUUGUGAAACCUAAAAAGUACAAUUUUUAUUGAAAAUGCAUCUGUUAAUGAGAAAUAUGGUGUUUCUCCCCAAUUAGUUCAGGUAUUCAUGGAUUAAUAUUACCUAAUGGUAGAAGGAGAUAAGGUGCAACAUCAAUCCUUUACCUGUUUUUUAUUUUUAUAGACAUGAGUAUUGAGAAACCUUGUUUCCACAAUUGGGAAAGGAAGAGAUUUGUUACAAUGAUAUUCUUUGAGUCUUUGAACUUCUAAAUUAUAUGCCAACAAUCACAGAGUGAUCUAUUAAUACUAUCAAAUAGAGUCUUCUUUUAAUUUUGUUAAAAGCAAAGGAUUAGAAACCACUGAACUUCCAAAAGGAUUUAGUUAUUAGAGUCUCAGUUUUGGUUUUAUUAAACAUGAUUAUUAAUUAUCUGUGACCUUUACACUCAGAGACACUUUGUUAAUCAGAUAUUGAUUUCCAUACUUCUUUGCCUACACAAUAUUUUUUGGUAAAAUUCUUUAAUUAUUACAUGUCUUCAAGAACUUUUUGUUAAACUGAAAUGCAGAUUCAGCUCAUUCACUGUAUAGAAAACAACUGCCAUUUGUGGAAUUGGCAAAGCCAGUUUUCAUUUCAAACCAAUCAGCCAAAUCAGACCUACUUUCUGUUAGAAACAUGUCUGACUUUAUUCUUCCAUUCAAAUAAAUAUGUUAACAUUCAUUUUGAGGAAUAUUAUAAAAAUUAUUAGGAAAUAAAUGAUUAACUAUAGCUUAUAAAAUGGACCACUGAUAAACCAGUCAAGAUUAAAAUUAUUUAGACCUACUAUUAACAUAAUAAAUGGUAAAAAUAAGAUAGUACUGUUUUUCAUUAUAUAAUUAGGAAUAAUGCUGUAUAAUGUAUAGUUAAAUCCAUCAGUUUUGAGAAGUCAUAUAGAAGGCAUAUAUUCCCUUGGUAAAUGUGUGUGCCUGCUUUCAUCAAACUCUUGUUGUUCAGCUUUUGGGAACAAUUAAAUGAGAAUCAUGUCUAAAAAUCAGAAAUAACUAAUAAUCUUGUUACACAAAUUUUUUUCUUCUGUAUUUUUUAGAAAGGAAAGCUGUAUUUGCUAAGAAAUAAUGAAUUGAGCAGCUAGCAAUUUCACUUUUUACUAGGAGGUAGAAAAUAAUAAACAUUUUAUAUAAGAUAAAAUAGGAAGACUGAUUGCAAUGGGAAUAUUUUGAUAUGAAGUGGAAAAUAAUUGCUCCCUCCAAGCUCCUCAGGUUUUUACACCCUGGACCAUGCAUCAAGAUUCAGUGUAGGGGAGAGACAUUCCUUUCUUUUGUAAAGUAGGACAAGGACUAUGGUGAAAGUGGGGGCAGUGGUAGAGUGGAGAAUGUGCAUGAAUAUGUCAGCUGGCUCCCAAAUGGAUUGGUUUUUAGAAUUUUUUUUUUUUUUUUUUUUUGAGACGGAGCCUCGCUCUGUCACCCAGGCUGGAGUGCAAUGGCAUGAUCUCAGCUCACUGUAACCUCUGCCUCCCGGGUUCAAGCGAUUCUCCUGCCUCAGCCUCCUGAGUAGCUGGGAUUAUAGGCGCGUGCCACCACGCCCGGCUAAUUUUUGUAUUUUUAGUAGAGAUGGGGUUUCACCUUGUUGGUCAUGCUGGUCUCAAACUCCUGACCUUGUGAUCUGCCUGUCUUGGCCUCCCAAAGUGCGGGGAUUACAAGCAUGAGCCACUGUGCCUGGCCGUUUUUUUUGUUUUUGUUUUUGUUUUUUGAGAUGAAGUUUUGCUCCUGUUGCCCAGGCUGGAGUGCAGUGGCACGACCUCGGCUCACUGCCACCUCCGCCUCCUGGGUUCAAGCGAUUCUCAUGCCUCAGCCUGCCAAGUAGCUGGGAUUACAGGUGCCUGCCACCACGCCCGGCUGUUUGUUUUUUUUUUUUUCUGAGAUGGAGUCUUGCUCUGUUACCCAGGCUGGAGUGCAGUGGCCCAAUUCAGCUCCCUGCAACCUCCCCUUCCUGGGUUCAAGAGAUUCUCCUGCCUCAGCCUCCCAGGUAGCUAUAAUUACAGGUGUGCACUGCCACACCCGGUUAAUUUUUGUAUUUUUAGUAGAAAUGGGGUUUCACUAUGUUGGCCAGGCUGGUCUCAAACUCUUACCUCAGGCGAUCCGCCCGCUACAGCCUCCCAAAGUGCUGGGAUUACAGGUGUGAGCCAGUGCACCCGGCCUGGUUUUAGAAAAUAUUUUAUAGGGAAGUUGAGGAUCUGGAAAUUUAUUCCUUUAAAACUCUCCUCAGACUGAUUUGAGGCUAUUUCCUGGGUAUUCCUUGCAGUCUUACGUACCCUAGGAAAAAUCUUCAUUUACCCCACUUGGAAGACUUCUUAAUAUAGGCAUAUCCAAACUCCAAUGUCCCUGACUAUCCAUUAUUUUGAGACACCAAAGCAAAUGUCCUACGAAGUAAGGAGGAAGACGUGUUGUUCUUAGAAUAGAAGUGAGUUAUGAGAGAAGUCAAAGAGGAUGGCUCCAAGUUGGUAUAGUGUGAAGGUCAUGGAUAUGGUCCUUGGCUUUGCAGUUCUAGAAGUGUGAUUUUGGGUCAGUCCACACAAAGGUGUUCAUGUUUUGUCACAUUAAAUCAAACUCAUAGGAAGUUAAUGUACAUAAUAGAAUGCCAGUGCAUUCUUUUAUACUUACAGCCACCAAGUGAACUGGAUUAUCGCUCCUGUUGGGUAAAUCUUAUCUGGGAAGAUCAAUUAUAAUCAGAAAGUUACAUGAGGAGUGUGGAUCUUGAGCAUGGCUAUUGUCAAUAAGCUGAUGAGCAGGUGCUCACUACCUGGCAUAUAAUAGGAUCUCAGUAAUUAUGGAAUGAAUGUACUUCAUCUGUAUCUUCAUUAUAGAUGCUAAAGGGUAAGUUUAAGAUUCUGAUAGGCCACCCCACAUGUUUUUUGAUCAGGUAGAUUUUUCCUUGUUGCUCAAGUUAUACUCUUAAAUGGCUAUAUCAUGUAGAUAUUAAAUCCAAUAAAAUUUCAUGAAAGGGAAUUAUAUAAUUGCAACAGCAAAGUUUUAUCUAUAUCUCUGAGCCUAGAAAUUGGGACUGUUCAUUUAUAAUAGAGAUUGGAGAUUGCUUUCUCCUGCCCUGUAGGAGUAGUGAUGGUGGUAGUGACUAAAUGAUCUGUAUUUCACAAUACUAUUUGGUGGCUAAGAGUGUACUGCAUACAAAGAAUGACACUGGGUGACCCUCAGUGCUGGCGCUUUCCUAGAGGUGGGACAUCCUGAGUAGGGAGGUGCUGAACCACCUGUGGGCUGGCCAGCUGUUGUGGACUGUACUGUGGAGAGGAGGAACAAUAAAUUUCCCCCACUCCUUAGAUCCCCCUCAGGAGAUAAUACUUGAUGCUGCUUUUAAGGACAGAGAAAAGACAAGCCUUUUCAAAUUUUAAAAUCAUUAGGGAUGAGUUGCCAAAAAAUUUGGGUUAAGUUUUAUCUGGAAGCCAGAAGACAUUGUCUCCUCAAGGCUUUUUCUGGCUCUGGGAUAAGCUAUUGAGAUAGAGGAAAAGAUGCCGGGCUGAGGAGUUUCAUUUAGUAUUUUAAUAAUAAUAAAAAAGACAUACAAAAUCCAAACAUUUCUUUUUACAAUUCAGAUACAUAUUUUUCCCCAAGUGCAAAAUACUCUAUGAACUGCAUCAUUUGCUGUUUAUUGUCGAUUGUAUAGGAGAUGCUUACUAAAUUGGCAGCAGUGGAAGGCAGAUAUAAAUACAAUAUUUUGAAAUUUCUUCUGCAUUUAACAAAAAGCCUCCCACAUGGCGAUGAUUAUUCUGAAACUUGAGUUCAGCUCACACAGAAGUAUAAAGUUUUCAGUUUGUUCAAACUGCUACAACCUGUGGUGUCUAAAAAAGCUGAUGACAACUGGGGGUUCUAUUCCUUCUAAUCAUAUAUUUCCUUGUACAAAUAAUGGCACAAGGAUAGGGUGUGCUACUUUUGAGACGGGUCAAAUGUAAAAAUAUCCUUGUGUUGUUCGCUCCCACUUUUAUUGUGCUUAAGAAAGAAACCUGGAGGGUUAACAUUUUCUGCUUAUGCUCAGUUAUACUUUGUCUUGGUACCCCUUGUUUGUGGCUGUAAUAUUGAGGUUAAGCAGCAAAUACAAAAGUUCGAGUGCUCUAUAACGUUUUCUGACAUUUUGAGAUAUGACCUCAUAAUCCAUUCCAGAGUCACCUCAAACAUGUAUAUAGAGAACACUUCUCAUAUAAAAAGUUUCUCUAGGGCCAAAGACCAGGACUGUGUUACUGAACUUUCAGCAACAAAUCUGAGUCUCCACCACCUCAAACUGACCAAAUCUUGGGGGCUGUUAAAGCAGUCACAGCUCAGUGCCAGCCUUUGGGGAUUUCUAGGCCUGGAGCAGGCAGCUCAGAUCCAGGAUCUGGUCAGUUUUCUUCUGACUCCAAGAGUUGUCUCAGGUUGUAGGAAUAGGCAUGGCCUGAUAAUAUAGAAAGAGGGAGGCAGAGAAGUAAAGAGGAACUGCCAUGUUGCUGAGGAUAUAAGUGCCUUUCUGGUGUGCAUUACUUGGUGCGUGAAGCCCUCCCAUUUCCAGGCUCAGAGCAGGUGAGGUUUUGUACUAAGAUGAAUGGAAGCCCCACAAUACUGUCGCCCCACACCCUACACGCUGCAGAGAGGCCUCUGGGUUGCUUCAUGAAGGGAUCCUAUUUAUACCAUCUUUCCAUUUCCCUCCAAUGGUAAAAACCUCUCUUCUGUCUGACCUGUAAAGACCUAGAAUGUCCCUGAGCGUUGACUCCUCAUUCAAUCCAGUUAACCCCUAGUUUGAUGUCCCAGGGCCAGCCUCCUCCAUAGAUUCAGCAGCAGCUUUGCCUGGGUUCUUAACCCUCCAACUUGGAGGACCUAAAUUAAACUUGGUGGACAAUAGCAGGUUUUUACCUGCUCACCAAGAUCUGCCUUGACAUCAAUUAAGAAGCCUAGUGGUCUAUGCCUUCCGUACUGUGGAACUCAUUUGCAGGUCUCAUAAGCCAUGGAAUAAAUGGUUGAAGGAUGUGUAUUUGUAUGUAUGUAUGCAUGGUGUGACAGGAAAGGAAGGGAGAAAGGAGAAGCCAGACCCUGAAGGCAUAAAUUAAGAAGCAUGGUCACCGUUUGGCUUUCCAAGAGACGCAAAACGGCUGGCAGAGAGGAAUCAGAAAGUUAUCCUAGGCUGGGCGCGGUGGCUCAUGCCUGUAAUCCCAGCACUUUGGGAGACUGAGGCGGGUGGAUCACCUGAGGUCAAGAGUUCAAGACCAGCCCGGGCAACAUGGUGAAACCCCAUCUCUACUAAAAAUACAAAAAUUAGCUGGGCGCGGUGGCGCAUGCCUGUAAUCCCAGCUACUUGGGAGGCCGAGGCAGAAUUGCUUGAGCCUGGGAGGCGGAGGUUGCAGUAGGCCGAGAUAGCACCAUUACACUCCAGCCUGGGUGACAGAGCGAGACUCCAUCUCAAAAAAAAAAAAAAAAAAAAAGAAAGAAAGAAAGAAAGUUAUCCUAGCUUCUGGUGGAGAAUUAGGAUAGUCAGAGUUGAUUAAAGCAGUUUUCAUGGUGCUUCCUGGGAAGUACAGAGACACUCAUACUAAAUGACCAUUUCCCUUGUUUGGAAGCAGCCAUUUUGCAUCUUUACAGUGGCCCUCCUUGACCCAGAAAGACAAAGGUAGCCAGACACUCUACCCACAAGGACCAUGAUGUUGGCUAAUGGUUGUCAGGGAAUCUAGCUGUGUCAUUGGCUACCUACUGCUAUGGCCGUUUUGGCUGAUGAAUGCUACUGAUGGGAGGGCAGGGAGUCAGACUCCUUUAUUUAGUGUUGAGUCUCCUGGGGGAGCAGUAGCCUAGGACAGUCACCUAGAAAUGAACCUGAGCUGUUCUGUGAGUUACCAGGAGAGUUAAAAAGAAAAAAAAAAAAAAAAGAAAUGAACCUGAGGACUCAGUUGGUAGCCUUUGAUUGAUUGGGACUACAGCUUUGGGGGAACUAGAGUGAGAAAACAGAAAAUAAUUUUAUAGGCAACACUUGGAUUAAGGGCAGAAUGUGUGCAGGCUUUGGGCUUGGGCAUGGACUUGAUUCUUCUUCCAUUUGAUUCUUUCUUCCUUCUGAAAAACAGUAGUUGAGGAAGCUAAGCUUGAAGUCAACUUCAAAGGGAAGUGACCAGAGCCAGGCAAAUAUCUGAUGCCUUCUGUCUUAUUCUUGGCUCCCACAGCUUUGUCUCUGGCCUCGGGACCCUGAGUCAGCCCAUCCCCAGGUGGUAUGUCCUGGUCCUCUUCCAUGUGUACACCAGGGGAUAACAGGAUGAAGACAGGGAAAAGAUGGAGGUUUUCCCUACUUGGGGUAGAGAAUCACUGACCAGUUCCAUUGGCCUCUAUAAUCAUGAGGUCCACACUGACUCCAUGGAGAGGCAUAGGGAUAGCAAGAUUGGUUUAGCAAACAUAGGUCUCUCUCCUUUCUGCUCCAUCAAAUCCCCAGAAUUACUUUCCUACACAUCAGAUGCCUCUGCGCAAUUACCCUGGAUUACCACAGCCAAGGGCUCUAGGUGGCCAGUGGUGGCAUAGAGACAGAUCAGAUGCUCCAGCACUCAAGGUUCAUGAGAUUCAAAACCGAUUUUCUUCCACUCCAAACAUACACUCUUUUCUCUUGGGCAGCUAUAAAUAGGGUUUUGCUAAUAGAGGAAGAAGAAACAAAAACAAAAAACAAACCCAGAAAACAAAAACCCCUCCGUCUAGACAACAUAGAAAGACUCAAAAUGAUUGCACUUAUUAGGUGUGGACAGGGUGGGCAGGAGGCUCGCCAAGUGCACACACAUUCCUUUUGCUGCCCACAGCCUGAGGCCAGAGGUAGGUGGCUCCAGGCUGGCUUCAGAGUGGGGUCCUCUUUGGUGAAGCCCACAAGCCAGCUGGGGCUACAAGGGAAAAACAACUGUAGGGCAAGGCCUAGGCUGGCUUCAGGUCAAUAACCAUGUUUAAGGACAACAUGUAGCAAGGGGAGUAGGGCUCCCCCAGGGAGCAUCACAUGGGGCUGAGGAGGUGGCUGGGCCAGGGAAGACAAGAAAAGGGAUUAGUGUUUGAAGUUGACUUCCAAUUGUUCUGUGUCUAGUCCUUUAGAUGAUACAUUUUUUCUUUCUGUUUUCUUUUUUUUGGCAAUGCUUUAAAACCUUGUUUCUGUCCUGCAGAGUUACAGUCUUUCUCUCAGGGAGCUACAGCGGGGCAUUCACCAUGACAAUGCCUGCUGCUCUUCCUCAUUUAGCCGGUGUCCACUAACUCAGUGUUGUGGGCCAUUUGUAAACCCUUAUGGAGUAGACCCCAGGCAGACGUAGGGAAAGAAAGAGAGGAUCUGUAUAGACAAGAAAGCUGGCCAUGUGGGAAGUCCAGAGCUCAAACCAUGUGCCCCAGAGGACUGGUGCUGGCAUUAAGCCUGUAAAUCAAAGGCUUCUUUGGCAGGACCCUGGGCUGUUAGAAUCACCCUAGGGAGCAGAGCCAGGGGACAUUUUGGCCCCUGACUAGCAAGGCACAACCCUAUAAUGGCAGAAGCCCUUCUUUCCCCUCCCCGUUUCCCACCAGACCCACUUCCUUGAUGGGCCUCUAGCACCCUUCCAAGCUGAUGGGGUCGGGAAUGUGAGCUGGUAAAAUGGGCAGUGGAAGGGGCUGUACUGUUUCUUUACAUCUCACGGGGACUAGAGCCAGUACUGAAUGGCUUUUCUAGGUAGUGUGUUAGAAAAGGGGGAACAGUAGAGAGGCAGGCAGAGAGAGACAAGGAAAGGAAACUAGAAAGACAGAAAGGGAGAGUGCCUGGUUUGUGUAGUGAUAUUUUUUUUUUCCCUCCAAAAAGAGAGGAGAGAGUUCCUUGUCUGAGGGUAGGGGGCUGCCGGCUCUGAGGGCUAAGGAGUCUGGGGGCUUAAAAAAUUGGGUCUCUGAGCCUAGGGUUACUAUUUGUAGGGCCUCAGGAAGCUGGAAACUUUGGAGCGGAGCAGCUUGAUGAAGGAUUUUGGCAGCAUCUCCUUGUGUUUCUCUGUGUACUUGAAGUAGUUCUGGGGGUGGGCUAGCACCUCAAAGAAGGCCUUGAUGAGCUUCUUGUCCUGCAAAGGAUGGCAGGGAGCAAUGUCAGCCUCACCGUCGGGGGUGGGAAAGAGAAACACCAUGACUCAGCAGCCCUUCUUGAUGUCUACUAGGCAUCCUAUACUGAAUAUAUCCAGAGGGCAACUCUGGAUUCCCAUUCCCACCAUCUGCCCUUAUUCUGGAAUUCCACAACUGAAUCAGUGGCAGCUCCAUCCUUCUGUUGCUUAGGCCCCAAUCCUUGGAGCCAUCCUUGAAUCCUCUUUCUUGCUUACAAGUAUAGCAAAUCCUAUUGACUCUACCUUCAAAAUAUGUCUGGGUCUGACCACUUAUCAUCUUCCCAAGCCACCACUGUCUCUGACUUGGAGUACUGUAGUAGCCUCCUAACUGGUCUCCAUGCUACCUUUGUCCCUCCGUAGACUCUUCUCCCCACAGCAGCCAGAGUGACUUUUUGUGUUUUUAAUUAGUUCAUCUUUUUCCUGUUUGAAACUCUUCUCUGGUUUCUUUUAUCACUCAUUGGCAGAAUGUGAUCUGUAUCUUGCUUUCCACCUCCACUCUUGCUCCCUCUGCUGAGCCACACUGGCCUUCUGGAGGUUCCUGAACACACUAAAUUGCUCCCAUGCUCCUUAGCUUGGAAUGCUCCUCCCUCAUCUUCUAAUGGGGAGCCCUUUUACCUCAUUUGGGUCUCUUCUCCUUAGAGGCCUUUCCUGACCACCCUGUCUACAACAGUAGCAUGGUAUGUGGAGAGCCUACUAGGUGCCAGGCACUGUGCAUUAAAACUCAGGUCUUCUGGCUCCUAGGCUGGUGCUCCUUCCAUGGCGUCAGUGGAUUUUUCAAAUAAGAAGUAGGGGUUUCAGCCUCUUACCCCACUUUAAUCAGAACAGCUGCACUGCUUUAUGUGUUGGAAUUCCACAGUACAUUUGAUUUGAAAUAAGGGUUCAGAUGCUUUAAAAAUGUUUGAAAAGUAUUAUUAAAAGUAUAUUCUUUGAAGUCUGCAAGUUCUAGGUGAUUUUUGUUGUCAAGGCUUUUAUUUUGAUGAUAAUAUAAAAAUAUUUUGCUAACACUUAACUUUUUUGCAGUGAUAAUUUAUGAAGGAUAAUUCUAUGACUACGACUAUAGUUUCCUUUUUUUUUUUUUUUUGAGACUGAGUCUAACUCUUGUUGCCCAGGCUGGAGUGCAAUGGCAUGAUAUCAGCUCACUGCAACCUCUGCCUCCCCGGUCCAAGCAAUUCUCCUGCCUCAGGGUCCCGAGUAGCUGGGAUUGCAGGCGCCCGCCACCACACCCAGCUAAUUUUUUGUAUUUUUUUAGUAAAGACGGGGUUUCACUAUGUUGGCCAGGCUGGUCUGGAACUCCUGACCUCAGGCGAUCCACCCGCCUCAGCCCCCCAAAGUGCUGGGAUUACAGGCAUGAUCCACCAUGCGCAGCCAGACUAUAGUUUCUUAAGGAAGAUUUUCUUAAAUUGGGAUUCACCGACCCAGGGCAUCUAGUCCAUUCUUCCAUGUUGGAAGUAUUUAUUUUCCUUGAAAAGAAGUCUGUACAUAAAUUGAUUCUGAGAAAGCUGUGCUAGAUCUGCCGCUGCUUUUUUUGUUUUUGUUUUUUUGAGACAGGGUUCACUCUUGUCACCCAGGCUGGAGUGCGAUGGCGCCAUCUCGGCUCACUGCAACCUGCGCCUCCUGAGUUCAAGCAAUUCUCCUGCCUCAGCCUCCUGAGUAGCUGGGAUUACAGGCGCCUGCCACCGCACCCGGAUAAUUUUGUAUUUUUACAAAAUUAAGACGAGGUUUCACCAUGUUGGCCAGGCUGGUCUCAAACUCCUGACCUCAUGUGAUCCACCCGCCUCGGCCUCCCAAAGUGCUGGGAUGACAGGCGUGAACCACCACACGCAGCCUAUCUGCUGCUGCUUAAUGAGGCCUGGGGAGAGAAUAGGGGAAGGAAGGGACUUAUGCAAAAGUAUCUUUCUAUACUUCACUUUCCCUAUGUCUCUUGGAAGAGGUAGGGACAUUUCUUCUCCUCACUUUCCCUUUCUCUUCCAAGUUUUCCCCAAGGUGUAAUAUAGUGUGGGUGACGCUGCAGUCGGAUAGGCUUGGGCUCAAAUCCCAGCUUCCCAUGGGGCAGGUUCUUUAACUCUCUAUACCCCAGUUUUCCCAUCUGUAAAGAAGCAAUGGAGAAAGCACCUACCUCAUAGAGCUAUUGUGUCUAUCAAGUGAGAAUAUUCAUGUAAGCACUUAGCCUAUUGCCUAUAUAUUGUUACAUGCUUAUUAAAUGUUAGCUAUCAUUAUUGUUAAUAUUCAUUCACCUUUAAAAUCUCCUGGUGGUUUUCAGAGGCAUAGAGCCGGCCAUCUCGCACAAUGUCUUCUACCAGCUGCUCAUAGUCCUCUGCAAAGUCAACCAAGGUGAGGGGCUCAGGGGCGGGAGCUCUUCCUGCUCUCCUGGUUCCCUCUCAAAACUGACAUACCUCCCCUUCUCACCCACCUCCUUGGCUUACCAUCAUAGGUAACAUAGGGAAUCUGGAAGCCACGGGCGCUGUUGGCCUCGCUUGUCUUGAAGUUGAUCCAGAGCUUCCUGGAACGGGCAGUGAAGGCAAUGGGACGCUCGUAGGUCUGGCAGGUCAGUAGAGCAGCAGGGCAGGCUACCCAAGCCCUCCUAGAACGUGGGCUGUACAGCUGGUGGUGGGGGUAUAGGGCAAGAGAAUCAUUCUGACAAAGGCUCCCCCUUCGCAUACACACACCCUACCCCACACCCUCUCCCAUUGCCCACUGGGCUCAUUCCACAAUUCCUCCUUGAUACCUGGGCACUCACAUAGUGUAAUAAAUAUGACAUUUAAAUGAAUGGAAUGGCAAAAAUGCUAGGAUAGGAAAGUGAUACAUGUAACGCCAUUGGAGUUCUAGCCCCACUGCUAGCUUUCUUAACUCUGUUUUCUACCAAACAUGUGUCAUUGCUGUUUUCCUUUGUUAGCUUCUCUCUUCCUAAAGGCCUCUCACUAUUUCACCCUCAUAGAUCCCUAACUUCACUGCCCCAUUUCUUCCUGUAUCAGUCUCUCUCUUUGUUCUCCGCCUUAACCAGAUUUGGACUGCCCUUCCCUGGCCCAGCUCUGCAAGCCACCCACAGUUCUUUCUCAUGACGAGGACGUCCCCACACUCAUCCUCAGAUGGCAGGAAGAUCUCUGGUACCACGAUAAGGAUCUUGCGCUUGGGUGGGGGGUUGAUGUUCCAGAUGCACUCCACACCAGCUGGGUAGUUGCCCGGGUAGUUGGGGGACUCAAUAUAGCCAGUGAACUCACCCAGCUCCCCACCACACUGACGAUCUGCAGCCAAACCCCAGUGGAUAAAACAAGACAGAGAAGGGAAGUCAGUGGGGAAGUGUGCUGGGGGAAUUGAAGAGUUCUGAAGUAGAGGUCAGACAUUUAUGGGAAGUCUGCGUUCUAGUUCAUCAUUAUUUUCCAAGCUCUGAGUCCAUCUUCCUUCCUGCCCUUUUAGUACCUUCUCUUCUCACUUCACCUGUCUCUGCUUCCUCAUUAACUGUCUCCAGGGAGAGGGUGUUACAGGGUCCAGCCUAGCAACUGGCCUUGAGAUUGAGUGAGUUGGGGAGAGGUGGAAGGUGGAGUUUUCCUGCUCCUCCACCCCCCAGCCCUGCUCCCUGUUGGUUUCACACCCCUCCUUUAGAUGUCCACUGCUCCCAGGCCUCUCUCCUCCCUUUUGCACAGCCUGGCUUGCCACGUACUCUUGCAUUGGGCCACACUGGUAGAGCCAUCAAAGUCUGUGCUUGUGUUUCCUGGACAGCGGCUGCAGAAGUUCUGACGGAAGUCGGGCUGAUAGGAGCCCAUGGCACAGCGAAUACAGCGGUGGAUGCUGGUGUUGUAGUAGUGCCCUGGGGAGCACUGGACUGUAGGCAAGGGAGAAGGGCAGGAAUCAAGAUGGUAGGCAGGUGGGAGUUACGGGGCAUGGGAUGGACAGGAUACAUUCAUCCUGGAGAAUCAGGAGAUCAGAUACAUCAAAGUUCUUUUCUAGGGUCUCAAUCUUUCCCAGUCAUGCCAGAAUUUAAGCCCACGGAAAAACAGAGUUUACAGAGUGGUUGGCUACAGUGCCAAUCCUUUUCUUUCAGACGCUGAGCACAGUGCCAAACCUAUAUAGAAACUCAUUUGGGAUAUGGAGGAGAAUAUGCCACCAGUUCUCCAAAGUGGAGAGGUGAAGCCAUGCCUCCCUUUCCCUCACCUGUGUAAACUGGGUAUGAAGACAGAGGACACCAGGAAAGAAGCCAGAGAAAGAGGAACAGUGAUGAAGGUAAGGAUGGAGAUUGGUCACAUUGGUCGGAUAGGUAACUGGGGGUUGCAGCUGGUUGCAAUGAGCAGCCAGGGAAUGUAGGAACCUGGGAAGUGGCUCUGGGUGCAGGCAGAGCUAUGGCCAUGGUGCUGAGGUUGGAGGGGCAGGGUGGGGAAAGGCAGCUGAGCCUCACCUCCUUGUGGAGCAGGGACCAUUUCUGUGGACAGGCCACAGCCCUGUCCUUCCUCCCCUCCCCCCUGUGCCUGGGCUUGCUGCCAUAUUCCCUAGCCUUUCUCCUAUUUUGGCUUAACAAAACAAAGUCUGACAACUUGGCGGGGAGGGAUCUGGGGAGAGCUGCCAGGCCACACCCUAGAUGGUGGGGGUGGGGGGCAGGGAGAACAGUAGGCUCUCACCCCCAAAUCACCACCCCUAGGUUCUAGAGCCAAGCUCACCCUGGAGCCCCCAAUUCAACACCUUGAUUCCAUCUCUAUGCUAGCUACUGCCCUCCCAAGUCCAUGGCCCUUCUCAGUUUGCCUUGGCCCAGGAGGCAUCACGUAGAUUGGUUGUCAAAUGGAGCAGCUAGAAUCUGGGCUCCUGAGGGCUUCAUCUGCCCCUCUCUUCCCAUCCUCUCUGCUGAGAUCCUGCAACCUUCUCUUCCCCUUCUGGCCAGGGCAGAGAGGCCCAGAUCCAGCUGGCUCUUGCCCAAGAGAUGCACCUGUUGGAAGAGCUAAGGUGUACUUUCCUGUGCUUUGCUCCUGUCUCUACCCUGUCUUUUGCUGUUCUCUUGACUUCUCCCCAUCCCUGUCUUCCUGCUCUUGCCACAUUCUACAUGCCAUCCUUCUGUCUGCUCCCUUACUAUCUAACCUUGUGGCUUUGCUACUCUAGCCAAGCUCUUUCCUCCAAUUCUCAGUGGGGAAGCUAAGGCCCAGAGCAUGGACAACUUUCUCAAAAUUCCCCUAAGAGCCAAAGGUAGUAUUGAGACUUUGAACCCUAACCCUAGGUAAUCUUUGUCCCUUGACCCUCUCUAUACCUAAUCAUUCUCUUGUCCCUCUGGUUGGUUCUCCCCAAAACACUUAUAGGGAAAUGAGAUGUGGUGACAAUCAGGGGCCUAGAAAAGUCAAAGGCAGCCAAAGAACUCAGAAGCUUAUGUGCAUGUCCUGUAGGCAACUCACUGUCCUGGUCUAAGUGCCACAGCUUCCCUUCCCAAAGGAGUUUCAUAAGAGGCCCUCAAGGGUGACUGGGCAGAUAUGAGGCCCUUCCCUGGAAGCUAAAAUGGUAGGAGAGGUGACCAGGGCUGGGAUUAAGGGCCCAGCAGAUAUCAGGGUUUGGAGGCCAGGGUUGGGUGUAGAAACCUAUAGCCUGGGUCCAAUGAUGGGUUAUGACUAGGUUUGGAGGCAGCUCUGCAGUAAGGAGGCUCUUCUCAGCCAAUAGGACUUAAGAGAAUUCAUCUAUUUGGUCAAUUGGUGGGUGAGGACCAGCCCAGCCUGCUUUUCUGGGCAUCAUUCCUUUUGUUUCUCUUCCUUUCCUGGUCCUUUAUGCUUCUAGUGCCUGUUUUCUGUUGUGGCUACAGGGUGAAGUAAUUUGGGAGAAGGCCCUGGGUUCAAAUUUCAAAUCCUUUUCUGCUAUGAGCUUCAGAUUUUCUGCUUGGGGAAGAGUCUGACUUGGUCCCAGUAAUUUUCCAAAAUGACAGAGACCAAAGUUGAGUUCAGUUCCUUAGAGAUUCUCUUAUCUCUGAUCCAGCUCCUGGGACAAAGGAGAUCAGUGAGGAGAGGGUGAGACUGGAGAUUGCAGGAAGAACUGGGAGAAAACAAGCCUGUAAGGGUCAGAGGCUUCCUGGGGCAUAGGGAUGCACUGUCGUCAUCAUCAAAAACAUUCUUCCCAUUACUGAGCUCCUACCAUGUGCUAAGGAUUGUACAGGGCUCUUUUCAUAUGUUGUCUUGUGGUGAUCCGCACAGCAGCCUUCAAGUGGGUUAUUACCACCCCAUUCUAUUUUAUUGUUAUUUUUUGAGAUAAGAUUGCUCGAUCUGGAGCGCAGUGACACAAUCACAGCUAACUGCAGCCUCGACUUCCUAGGCUCAAGCCAAGGAAGAGCUCCCAAGUAGCUGGGGACUACAGGUAUGCACCAUCAUGACUGACUAAUUUUUAUUAUUAUUAUUUUUUGUAGAAACAGGGUCUCACUAUGUUGCCCAGGCCUGUCUUGAACUCCUGGGCUCUAGCAGUCCCUCUGCCUCGGCCUCCCAAAGUGCUGGGAUUACAGGUGUGAGCUACCACACCUGGUCCCACCCCCAUUUUAGAGAGGAGAAAGAUGAGAUUUCCAGAGAUUGGCUGAUUUGCCCAAGACCCAAGGCUAGUAAGCAGCAGAACCAAGAUAUCUGUGUGGAGCCAAAUCAGCUUCCUACCAUGCCUCACCACUGGCUAAACCCACUAUUCCCAUCUCCUGGCCCUUGCCCUAGGAGCAUUUCGUAGCAGCUUUUCCUCUAAUGUUUUUCAUCCAGCAGGAUUUUUCAUCCUAAGUGGCCAGUCUCAAAGGGGAGGCUGACCUUAUUCUCUUGUGAAUGUAGCUCUUCUUGAUCACUCUCUCCUCCUUCCCUGGGAAAUAGGAAAUGCUGAAAAGAUCUCUUUCUCCACAAGACAUCCCUCCACCAAAUCCCCUCUCCUUUGCUUACCCAGACAGUUGUGUCCGUCAUGUGCCAGGUGGAAUCCAUCAUAGCAGGUACACCGGUAAUUGCCAGGGAUGUUGACACAGUCAUGCACACAACCUGCAUUAUCCUCUCGCUCGCACUCAUCCACGUCUGUGGGCAAAGGGAAGCUGAGACAGCUGAACCCACCUGCGAACCCACUGUCCACCCCCAGACUCAGCCUUAUGGUUGUGUUUACAUAGUUAUGUUCAUGGCCUAUAAGCCAUUUAGCAUUUUUCUGUUUUCAUUUAAACCUAAGUCAUGAACAUUUUCAGGUCUCCAUCCAGUCUUUCUAAUUACCAUUGUACAUGGUUGCAGAAUAUUAUUUUUCUAUUUUUUUCUCUAUUGUUAGAGAUUUAGAUUUCUUUAAUUUAUUUUACCAUCAUAGAUAAUGCAUCAAAGAACAUCUUCUCCCAUGUAUUAUUUUGUUACUUUGAAUAAGUCCCCAAGAGUAAAAUUCCUGGAUCAAAGGAAAUACCUUUUAAGAUUCCUGGUAGGUAUUACAAAAUUACUUUUCAAUUUAUAAUGCAACUAGGAAUUAACAAGUGUACCCUGUCCACUAAAGUCUCACCAACACUGAAGCUCAUAAAUUUAAUAUCUCAAGGCUACUUUAAUUUGCAUUGAUUUAAUUAUGAGGGGAAGAUGUGUUUACAUUAUGAACUUCCUCUGAAGCACACUUUCUGUUCCCAUCCAUUGUGGAUGUGGUGUAAGGGUCUAAAGAUAAAGGUUCCAAUGUCAGGGAACCUCAGGUCUUAGUCUUAUGAUUUUCAUGCUCCCACCCCAGCCAGGUUGUGGGCUGUGAACUGUCCCCACCAGGGCCUCUGCUAGCCUGCAUGGUGCCUUUGUGCAAAUUAGAAAAUGGCACCCUCUCUGGGAAGAUGCAGUUGCCCCCCUCACCACCCCCCCACCACUUGACCAGUGGAAUUUCUAGCCUUGAUGUGAUGGAGAGUGGCCAACUGAGGGCAGUGGCACUGGUUUGCCUUCUUCCACAGGUCCCUCUCCUCCAGGUGCCCUUCCAGCCUCACCUUUGCAGUGUUUGCCGUCCCCUGUGUAGCCAGACUUGCAGAUGCACUUGUAUGACCUCGGGGUGUUCUGGCAGAUAGCAUCGAUGUGGCAGUUGUCAGUCCCCUCCACACACUCAUCCACAUCUGGCAGGGGCAGAGGGGGCACAUGAGAACCUCUGUUGGCACCUCUUAAGGGGUGUCUUGAAGGUGGGCUUCCAAGGGCAGAAUCCCCUCUUCUCUAAAACAGAGGCAGUGACCCCCUCCAGAAACAGGUGCUGUCUCACAUCUCUCUGAUUUCAGAGUAGGCAGACACUGAUUUUGGGAAUUCAGAAGGAACCCCCACUGCCCUCAAAAAUACUAAAUUCACAGUGACAGCUAAAACUCCAUCAUUCGAAACACUCCUUUUUUUAUUUGAAAACAAACAAAAAACCCUUAGAGUGGGUAGUACACUUAACUUGAUUAGGAAUAAUCAACUUAAAGUGAAUGAGUUUACGGAGAAGGCUUAGAGGGAAAGUUAAGGGAAAAGGCAUGGGAACAGUGGUCUCUGGGAAGGUGGCAGGGUCCAGCAAUCACUAGUAAAGGAGGAAGAAAGGGGGAUGGGGCAUCUGAGGGAUCUUCAUCUGUGUCAUGAUUCUGCUUGAGACCAGGCCUGCUUCCACUUGCCCACCAUGGAGCCAAGAAGCUUUAGAGGAAAAAUGUUCCAUCCUGGAUGAUUUUCCUCGGCCCCUGUGCUGCCAACAAUGGAGACAUCCAGAGCUGGCAGAGGUUGGCACCAGCUACCUGAAGCCUAAUAAGUGCAGCCCUUCAGGCCCUAAUCCCCAGUGUUUAGCCCUCUGUCUCCUGGCCCUAGCUCUAACAAUAGGUGCUACACACACAGCUAUACUUGAAGGAAGAGGCCACUCACCAUCUAGCAAAAAAGAGGAUGGUUAGGAAAGGACAUAGAUGAUGCCAGGCGCGGUGGCUCAUGCCUGUAAUCCCAGCACUUUGGGAGGCCAAGGCAGGUGGAUCAUGAGGUCAGGAGUUCGAGACCAGCCUGACCUUGAUGAAACCCCAUCUCUACUAAAAAUACAAAAAUUAGCCAGGUGUGGUGAUGUGUGCCUGUAAUCCCAGCUACUCAGGAGGCUGUGGCAGGAGAAUCGCUUGAACCAGGGAGGCGGAGGUUGCAGUGAGCUGAGAUCGCGCUAAUGCACUCCAGCCUGGGCGACAGUGAGACUCUAUCUCAAAAAAAAAAAAAAAAAAAAAAGGACAUAGAAAAGAGUCCAACUUCUGAGGCAAUAUUAUGGUGCCCUUAAAUCUGAACUGAAAUAGAGAAACAUGUUAUUCAGUUGAAAACGCCUUAUUGAGUGUGUUUGUGAAAGACACUAUAAUGAUAGCUGUGGAGGCUCAAAGGUGACUCAGCCCAGCCAAAAGGAGAAACAAAAAACAUGGAGCAGAAUGUGGUACAUGCCCUGAAGACAUGAGAGAUAAGGUGAGGGGGUCCUCCACCCUGCACAUCAGAGUCAACUCUCCUAGGAGAUGUCCAAGCCACAACCCCAGAGAUUCUGGUCAGAUAGCCUGGACUGGUGCCGGGCCAUCAGUAUUUUUCUAAAGCUCUUCCAGUUAUUCUAAUGUGUAGUCAAGGUUGAGAACCUGUGUUACGGGGCAGAUCAGAGGAGAAAGAGAUUACUUCCAGCUGGAAACUGGGAAACCCAAAAUAGUGUCUUAAGUAGCAGCCUGCAAGUGAGUGAUCACUGAAUGGGAGGCAUUACUCUCCUGUGAUCCCACAACUGAGCACAGAAAGGAGAUGAGAUUUGACACCAAGACAAUUUGAUAUCCAAGUGUGAUCUAUGGGCCAUAGAAUUGCCUAGGUUUUAUUAAAAUGCAGAUUCUCAGGACUCAUUAUAGCCUUUUUGAAUCCAAAUCCUUAAGUGAUUAUUUUUACUGAGUGAAUGGAUGCAUGGACCAGUAUUCUCUCCAAUUUAUAGAUACCCAGAGUCCUAGCUUGAGACAGUUAUCUGUCCUCCGCUUUUAUACUCUGAAACUUCCUGGGGCUAAGAAGAGAACUGAAAUCCCCAAACACCCUGCCUCAAAUCUCACAGGUUUCCGUUCAGCUCUUCAUUCUACCCUUCAACUCCUAUGCAGCCAACCAUCAUACCAGUUGAUUCUAAGUGCUGGGAGCCUCUGUCUACACUUACUCUCCACCUCGCUCAGGCUCCAUAGGCAUGGUGUCUACCUGCUGGCCCAUCCUGGGAAGUCAUCCCAACGUGACAGAAUGGAAAAGAGAGGGCAUGGAAGACUAGUUCAUAGGUAAGGGCAAGAGGGACCUCGCAGAUGGUAAGGUGCUCUGUGGAGAAUCAGUUUGUCCAACUGAUAAACAGAAAACAGUACAAAGAAAUGUGCUAUCACAGAACGAUCUUAAGCACUGGAACCAGUCAGUCCCAGAUUCAAAUCCAGCUCUACCCUUCUCUAGGGAUGGUUUUCUUAUUCUCCAUCUCCUCCCCCUUAAAAUGGGGAUGAUAAUACCUCCUCAUGAGAGGCUGUGAGUAGCUGAUGGGAUAAUUUGUGUAAAUUGGCUAAUAAAGUAUCUGGUAAACAGUAGGGUCCCAAUACAGGAAGCUUGAGAUGGUAUUAAAUCACUGGUCAGGCAAUAGAUGCUCGAGACAGUAUGACAGCCACUAGCCACAUGUGGUUAUUUAAUUUAAAAUUCACUUCCUCAGUUGCACUAGCCACAGGCCAAAUGCGCAAUAGCCACAUGUGGCUAGUGGCUACCAUGGCGGAAAGCAUAGAUAUGGAACAUUUCCAACACCACAGAAAUAGCACUGCUAUUAGCACACCACAGGAUAGCACUGCUCUGGGGUUCUGAAUAAGAGAUACUCCCUGGGUCCAGCAGCACGGAUACUGGUCUGGAACUGCUCCCCUGACCAUAUCAGAGGUAUGUGCCUGUGACUGAAUCAGCUGGUGCUUCACUAGAGACUGUGUCAGACUAUAUGGGCUCCCAAUUCUUUCCUUUGCCUCCCAUUCAGUGCUCACCAGUACUAGAGUGGAUCUUGAUGCUGAUCACCACAAACCCAGGCCUCCCAGCAGAUUCUUUUUUUUUUUUUUUUUUUUUUUUUUGAGAUGAAGUCUCGGUCUGUCACCCAGGCUGGAGUACAGUAGUGGUGUGAUCUCGGCUCACUGCAACCUCUGCCUCCCAGGUUCAAGCUAUUCUUCUGCCUCAGCCUCCUGAGUAUCUGGGAUUACAGGCAUGUGCCACCACACUUGGCUAAUUUUUGUAUUAUUAAUAGAGACAUGGUUUUGCCACAUUGGCCAGGCUGGUCUCGAACUCCUGACCUCAAGUGAUCUGCCCGCCUUAGCCUCCCAAAGUGCUGGGAUUACAGGCGCGAGCCACUACACCUGGCCACAGAUUUUUUAGACCCCUCCUACAGCCAGACUUCUCCCACCAUCUAACUAACCCCUCUCCCUUACCUCCCUGCUCACAAUGCUUAUCCCUCUCCAGCAAAGAGUCUCUGCUCUGGAAGACAUUAUCUCUUCCUGUUCCCUCUACAAUACCUAACCAUCCUAUUCCUUUCUAUGCAUUUGCGUAUUUUCGUUAUUCACAUUGCAGAUGCAUUCCUCAUUUUUCUCUUCCAGCCACACUAUGCUCAGCUUUCCAUUCCAGCUCAAAUUUUUCUUCCCAAAAGCUCUUCCUUGUAAGCCCCGUUCCUGGUGAGUUCCUGGUCCAAGGGGACUGUUCUCCUCAGUUCAUUUACAGCCGUCACUGAAUUGCUCUGCUAAUACUUUAAAGCGUGUUCAGCUUUCCUCACCUGGCUGGGUACCUGCUGAGGAAGAUGUCCCUUCAAUGUUUGGUUGGAGUCUUUUGAAGCAGAACAGACCUAAGACAAAGCUGUGAAAGAGGGCCCCAAAUUAUACCCAGUAUCUCCUCCUUUUACCACUCAUUCUUCCAGAGUUCUCUCCUACCAUAUGUGCCCACCCAGAAUUUGUCCUUGCAAGGACCCUUCAACGCUCACAGCACAGUCUCAUCUUAGCCUGUUCUCUCAGGAUGCAGGUGCUUACUAGCUGGAAAACCAGUUGAUGCUACUGGGUGUGGACUGGUUUAAACCAGCGGUUCUCAACCCUGGGGCUACACACUGGAAUUCCCUGGGGGUUUUGAAAAAAAUGUGAAUGUACAGAUGUCCCCUAGACCAGCUGAAUCAGGAUCUCCAGGGUGAGGCUGUGGCUACUAUCUGUCUUCCUUUCCCAAGGUAAUGCCAAUAAACUAUUUGCCCAAGCUGGGAAGAGACCAGGGCAGCCACAUGACAGAGUAGUUAAGAGAGAGGUUCUGGAGCAACAUUGUCAGUUCAAUUGCUAGCUCUACCUGUGUCUGUGUGGUCCUGGGCCAGCCUCUGAACUUACCUGUUCCCUCCUCUGUAUGUGGGAAUAAUAUUCAUCAUAGUACCUCCCCAUGGGGCUUCCAGGAACAUCAGUUGAAUUAAUACCCAUCAAGUACUUAACACCACAGUGUGGGCAUAUAGAAAGUGCUCAACAAAGGUUUGCUAUUUUUUUCUUUCUUUUUGAAACAGAGACAGGGUCUUGCUCUGCUUAUCCAGGCAGGAAUGCAAUGGCAUGAACAUAGCUCACUGCAACCUCGAAAUCCUGGGCUCAAGUGAUCCUCCCACCUCAGCCUACUGAGUAACUGGGACUAUAUGCGCGUGGCAUCAUGCUCAGCCAAUUUUUUAAAAUUUUUAGAGGCAGGGUCUUGCUAUGUUGCCCAAGCUGGUCUCGAACUCCUGGAUUUGAACGACCCUCUCAUGUCAGCCUCCCAAAGUGCUGGUAUUACAGGUGUGAGUCGCCAUGCCUAGCCAAGGUUUGCUACUAUUAUUCCUUCUCUCCAACCUUCUCCCUGUAUUCUUUCUGAACUCCCUUUCCCUAUCAAAGCCCCAUUUCAGGCCUGGUGUGGGGAAAUGCAGCACCAGGUGAGCAUGUGUUGGUGGGGAGGAUUUGGGGAGACACAUCCCCACUGCUUACUCUACCUGUGCUGGGAACUGCACAAAGAAUGGGGGUGAAGUGGGUGAGAGGCCAGUUGGGAACCCAAAAGCUGUCCUCUACAAUUCUUUUUGAAGGCUAGGGAGAUCCCACUCCUACUUCAGGCCAUGCAUUGGAACCAAAGUUGAGGUGGGGGAGAGUGGUGGCUGCACAGAUACCAUAGACAAGCCAAGACCUCCCUGCCUCGCCCUGUCCUGGCAUGAAGGCACAGGUCUGUAACUACAGCAGCUUUUCCCAGUACCAUCUGACAUUUCUUCUGAAUUUGCUUUAGCGCCUAGCAGAGCACUCCAUAAACUCUCCUAAAGUAGGUAGGAAGGGUAGGAUGGGGUAUGGGAUAUGAGGGUCAGAGGGUCAGACCAGAAAGGGUGGAUUAUUAUAAAACAAGUAGUCCUAAGAUUCUGAGGAUGGGCAGGUGUACCCUAAAAGGGAAGCAGUGGGAUUCCCAAGUAAAUACUUCAUCUACUUCACAAGUUUGCCCAAGCCCAGCUCAGGAACAGUAACAAAUGGAAAUGAGCAGGGAUGCCGGCUGUGGACAAGCAGACCCCCUAGGUAGAGUCCACCCCACCUUCCCAUUACCACAGGAAUUAUUACCUUACCACCCAUAGGGGAGGGGGUAAUUGUGGGCAAAUUUGAUGGGCCCAGUGGGACAGUCAGAAACAGCCUGCCUAGAGCCCUAAUGUACCCACCCACAUAGCUGUGACAUCCUCAGCCCAGCCAGGCUAGCCCAGGAUAUAUGGUGUGUGUAGCGCACUCUGCUAUUUUCCUCUCCUUGAAUGUCCUUGAGGACCCAGUUCAGGUGCCUCUGCUGGGACACUCCCUGUGACACUACCAGCCUUCUCUGAUCUACUCUUUCUCUUGACUCCUAAGACUUACUGUCAGGCUCUCUGGUCACCUGAUCAAUCCCAGGCUUGUGAUACCUCAUAUGCUACCUUGUACCAUUAUUUAACUUUUAGUUCAUGUGUAUAAUUUUCCUACUGAAGCAGUAGGAGCUUGAGGCCAUGGCUCCUAAAGCUUUGAAACCCAUGCAGCAACUGAAAUAGAGCUCAGCAUUCAUUCAUUCACUCACUCACUCAAUAGUUAUUGAGCACCUCCAACAUGCGAAGCACCGUGCUAGGUGCUGGGGAUUUGGCAGUGAACCAGAGAUGAAUUCUACAUUGAAGCCACUUAGUAAAUAUUUGUUAAACAGAUAGACGAGUGGAUGGAGACAUGGAUGCAUUAGUAGUGAGUGGAUAAUGUCUCUAUCUGUGGCAUCCCUUCUGCUCUAUGUUACCUCAGAGAAAAAUCUCACUUCUUUACUCUCCGUGAUCCCACAACUGUUCUGGAUGGGGGAAGUCCCAGGAAGUUUAGUCUCAAGUGGAGAGUAGGGAGAGAGGAAACUAAAUUCAGAGGGGUAGUACCCACUUAAAGGCAUCCAUAUGAUGAGUGCUGGGGCCAGAAGAGACUGGAACCAAUGAGUCAUAGGGUCUCAGGGUCUUCAGACAUCAUAUGGGGCUGCUACAGGGAUCUUUUCAGAGCAUCCCCUUCAACAGAUGUUCCUCAGCCUCCAUGCUAACUCUCAAUGAUGGGGCACCUGACACAGGCAUUCCACUGCUUGCCCCUGGUGAUUUCCCUCAUUCUCACCUCUAAGUAACAUCCAAAAUAAAACCAGCCCAGCCUUGGGCCAUGAUAUCCUAACCCACAGCAUGUGCACAUGUACCCACAUCUGCAUAUCUGCUCUACCUCCAGAUCAAAAUAGCAACCAGGGAGAUUGGCAGAGCCUGGAGUACCAGGCUGUCUUCCCAGUUUGGGACUGGCUGAGGCACUGUGACUUCAGUGAGAGUCUGGGCCCAUCCUCAGUCUAGAAAAAGCUUAUGCAAGGAUGAGGGUAGCCUAGAGAAAGUCCAGAAAACCACACAAAUGACCACCUGUUGAUUCCAAGGCGGAGACAGAGCACUUUCUCCUUUUAAAAACAGUAUCCUCUCCUCUCACUCAAGCUUAGCCUGCUCAACUGAACAGCCAGGAAAAGCUGCUGGUGUUUGGUGAUUUGAAGGGAAGGGGGUCUGAACCUCAGAAGCUUGUCACUUACUGGGGACCCUGAUGAGUUUCUCUCUGUUGUCCUGCCUUAUCCCUAAUCUAGCUCCCUGAUCAUUUGAAUGUAACCCUAAUUGGACAAGAAUUUUCUCCCUUUCAGUAUGGACAAAAUCAACAACCAUGAAUCAGAGACUUUUAGAGGAUGGGUAGUGAAGUGGGGGAAGAACAGAACAUUGUAGAGUGAGGGGCAGAGAGGCAGGCAGUGGGCAUGGGUAGGUUCUGGUUUUGUGAUUAGUAAUAUUAUCUCUUUAAUUGAAAAAAAUAAACUCAUUUCAGAUUCGUAUAAUUUCACUAAGUGUACAGUUUUUUCAUGCAGGUUGGUUCACGUGGUCUUCAAACUGUCCUCUCUCAUCUGGGGCCCAGUGAGGAUACCUCAGGAAAGAGCAAGUAGCUAGUGUAAAGCCAGGAUCCAGGUCUUCAAACUCCCAGUCCAGUGCUCUCUAACUACCCACUGUGUUCUCUAAGCACUUGAGGGAGGAAUCCAUGCCUUAGUCAUUAUUGUACCUCCCCCAACUCCACCUCAGCACUUAGUUCAGCAUGAAGCAUGCAUCCAGUAUAUAACCGUGGAGCGGAAGGAGCUGAAAUGUACAUGAUCCAGGGAGGAAAUCAGCAGUGGGAAUGCAGAUGCUCUGAGGCUUUGGGCAUGGGAGCAGCAGAAGAGAGCAAGGCUGAGUAGUGGGCAGGGAGGGUACAGACACAGUUGCAAUAAGGAAAGGGUGGGCAAUGCAACAGUGGGCAGGUGUUGCCUGCCCUUGGAUUCACUAUGCUGGGGCCAAGCAGCUGGUUAGAAACAAAAACAAACACCAGGGAUACAGGUUCCUGCUGUUAACAGCUUCAAACCGCCAGAGGAAAACUCCAAAUAAAUAUAAUUAGAAACUUGUAAAAACGUCCUCUCUGUAAACCUGCUCCCCAGGGUCUACCCUUCAAGCACUCCCCUUCCCCAGCCCUCCCCCCAAUGCCCACAUAUCCUGAUACUCCCCACUUUCAGAGGGAUUCCUUAGAUGUGUUUCCUUAUCCUGGAUCUUCCCUCCAGCCCUGCAGCCCCUGCCCAGGUCUUUCCUCAGCUUGUUACCACCAGUGACCAGACCUGAAGAGCCCCUGGUGUAGGCUCAGAAAUCCAAACCCCACAGCUCUCUAGGGCUAUGGUUAUAACCACAGGGAAAACCAGAGGUAAGAGCAAGGACCACUGUGCCCUAUAUAGGGGUCAUCAUCCCAUUUGUUCAGCCAAAGCACAGCAUCUAACAGCAACUACAAAGCAGUGCUUGAUCUGCAGGGGGACAUGUCUAGGCUAGGGCAGAAUACAGACAGCUAGUCUCAGAGCUAGAAACACGGAAUCCUGGGGCCCAGAUCCAAGAAUAUUCAGUUCCCAUAACACGGAUAUUUCAGCUCCACUUCCCAACUUUGUUGGAUACACACAUAUAGAAACACACAUGUGUUCUUCAGGGGCUAUUUCCAGGGAUAAAUACCCACUUCAUGGACACAGUAAGAACUAUCAGCUACUUGGGGUUCCAGGAAACUGGGGUGGGGGAAGAAAGGAAGAGUAUCCAGAUGACCUAGCCUCAGGCAGGCAGAAGUGGACCAGCAUCCAAGGAGGAGAGCGCCUGAGAUUUGGGUGAGUAACCUGUGGAGGCCCGGCGCCUUCUGCCUUCAGCAGGAAGGAUUUCAGUGAGAUGUGCAGAAUCUCAGGGCUGCAGGGAACCCUACUGAUAUUUUACAAGUGAGAAGAGGGAUUUCAGUGAUUUCCUCCGAGGCUCAAAUCCUUAGGCUCUGCAUUUGUCUAAACCCACUGGCACCAUAUACCUCUAUAUCCCCGGUGCCACUUGAGGCUGGCAUUGGGUGGGCAUAGGAACAGGAGAGUAGCCAGUCCAAUGUUAAGUGGCCAGUGGGGGAGGGGAGUCUCUGUCCCCUCUUAGCCCAGGUGACUAGCUCCUGUACCCCCUAGACAUCCCUGGGUUGGCCGUUGUUUCGCUUCUAUACCCAAGGCCCAGCAGUCCUUCUGUUUCCAGACUCCAGUCUUCUGAGCCUGAAGAAGCUGUCCCCAGGUCUGGGCCUCUUGCAGGCACUGCCAGCCUCAGAGCAGCUCUGCAGUUUCCAGCCCUGACAGGGACUCUUUCUUAUAAGUGGUCAUGUGCUAGGGAUACGGGAUGUCAAAGGAGGCCCACACCCUGACAUUUGGGGACCAGAGCUGGGGGAAAGGACUGAGUGAGUUCAGGCAGCAAGCUCUUCCAGCUCCAUCUUCUCAAAAGGUCUGAAGCCCUUCGUUCCCUUCCCCUGUCCUCAGUUCAAGGCACUGGACCAAGCCAUUCCACUUCUUUACUUCUCCAACUAAAACAAAAUGCAUAUUGCCCCACUUCCUUUUUCCUCUCACCAGAGCACUUCACACACACACACACCCUGAGUCAUGCACACACAUUCACACGUGUGUGAAUGCACACUUCACAUUCCCAAACUCACACCCAGGGCCGGCUCCUCUUACAACAGGUCCCAGCUGCUCACAUCUCAAACCGGUUCUCAUGCUCUCAGAUUCCUGAAGGUUUCAAAAAACAAUCUCAUUUGAGGGCUGCUGAUGACUGUCUUCUUUCUCUGCCUGCAGUAAUUCUGGCCUUAGUGUCUUCUAGUCCCCUUUCUCUUAUUCCACCCUGCAGAGACUCAAAGAGAUGAGAAGGAAGGGGUUGAAAACAGGGAAAAGUCUCUGUACUCUCCCACCCCGAGGCUUUCCCCACCUCUGAGACAUGUCAUGAGAGAAGAGAGGUCAAAGGGAUUCCUGAGGAAUUUCUAAGCAGUCCACCCUCUUCUCCACCUUCUGGAAAAAUGGGGGUGGGCUUAGAGGGAACUGACUAAAGAUCAGGCUCUGAGUGGGGACUCUCCCUCUCUCCAGUGUGGCCUGGACAGGGCACAGGCAAUAGCCGGCUGCCCACGGGGCCACCCUUACCCGCUGACAUGGUUAUGGUUUUCAUUUCAUAUUUUGGAGGGAGGGGCUAGUAGGAACAGUCCCCUCACUGUAAGAGCUGGCCACAGGAGCCCAGGGAAGCGGGGAGGAAAGGAAACAGCCACAUUAAAGAGGAAGAGAAGGGUGGGAGAAAGAAAGAGACACAUACACCCAGACAGAGACCCGGAGAGACACACCGAGACAGAGAGACACUGUUUGCCACCACAUGAACGCUCUCAGUCCCAGGGAUGGGGUUACUUGGAAAUUCUAAAUGCAUGACUUUAUCAAAACUCUAUCCCUAACAAGGAGAGAAAACUACCAGGUAAACUAAACGGCCAGGCUGGCUCUCCUGGAGCCAGCCCUGGGGACAAGUUUCCCUGGAGGCCGAGAGACCUUUUCAUUCAGCUGUAACCUGAGCCCUAUGCGAGGAUUAGGUCUUUUUAACCACUGCUGCACACACCCCCCCCCCCGCCGCGCCUCCCCCCCGCCCCCCCCCCCCCCGCCAAACACCCACCCCCUUACCAAAAGCAAAGCAAAUUAAUGCUUUUAAGUUAACAAUUAUCUUGGUUAUCCAGUCUGUCUACUUUAAAAUAUACAGACAAGCACUUGAAAAACACUCAAAACCAUGUCCCCUCAUGCUCCCUCCCUUCCCAGUCACACAGGCUUACCCACCUACUCUUCCAUACAGUUCUCACAGACACUAAAACAGCAGUUUACCCUUAGCAACUACGUCACAAGAAACACAGACAUCCAGCUAUGUUGCCUGUGGGUAACUGUGGUGAACCUCUCAUGUGUGCACAGUCGCACACUCACCUUUACACUUAGGGCUCCCUUCCUUGUCUCCCCCUUUCCCCCCUUCCACAUGACUUUGGUUUUCCCAUUGUGGGAAUCACUGAUGAAAAGGGACAGAAACCCAGAUACCCCCAGAGGUAUAGUAACUCCGUGCAAGAUACUUGCCAAGGGUAUUUGAUUUUAAAGACCUGCUAGUGCUUUAUAUAAAGCAUGUGGCAUUAAAGGCACACUUUCUGGCACUGCUGAUAACCAGGAGAUAUGUUUGAAGGUAAGGCCUCCCUGAUGCUCACAGACUGUGUCUAUGGGUAAGGCUGUAAGGUUGCCCCGCCUGGUCAGUACUAGUUCUUCCUGCAGCAUCUGCCUGCAAGUUUGUGUCCAGAGACAUCCCUGUAACCCAGCAAACCUGCUAUUAGGCAACCUCUGGCAGAUGGGGUUUGUAGAUUUCCUGAAGAGAAGGGUCAAUGAAAGGCUUCCAUUCUAGGCCAAGCUUAGGGAUCAGAAGAAAAGAAGGAGGAUACCAAGCUAACUGCGGUCCAGUCACAGGAAGGGUGGCCUGUGAAUGAGAUAAGCUGGGGACAAAAACUACUCUAAGUUCCUUGAGGGCAGGGGCCUUCACUCUGGCAGCAUGUUCCUCAGUACCCAGCAGGGAGUCCAAUGAAAGUGGAAGCCCUGGAGUACCAUGCAGGGAUUCUGACUCCCGUUCCUGAAUCAUGAGCUGAUCUCCCAUACUUGAGUGCCUUGGCUUGAUGGCACCUGUCCCUUGGAGGGGUCUCCAUCUGCCCCUGGGCCCCCCUCGAAUACACUGCUUCUCCUUUGGUCCACAGCCUCACUAGGCCACUACAGACACUGGCUCCAACUUGAAAGAGGCCCUUAUCUUGUCUCUAGGUUACUUCAUGAUAUCUGUUCCUUCCUUCAGACUAAACUCCCCACCUAAUUCCAUGUUAUGAGUAAGUCAGCACACACUACAAAAGCCAGCUUUGUUUAUGAAAACACAAAUCCACAGUGAGGAGAGGGGCUGCUCCCAGGUUGGGGGUGGCAGUGGCGAUGCGCUGUCUGGAACCAGGACUGGAAAAGAGGCAGUGUGGGGCUGGAAGGUGUGGGGGCAGGGUCCAGUAUUUGACAGCUGAGGAUCUCUAGUGUUUCAGUUCUGUGAAAGGACAGGUUGGAGGGGGAAGAGGUUAGCUGAAGAGGCAGUGUUUGGGGAGAGGAGGGCGGCAUUGAUACAGCACCUUCCUCUUCACAGAGCAGGAGCCCAUCCAAUACAACAGAGCAGCUUAAGAGCCAAACGCUCAGGCUCUGGGACACAGCGACCUGUGUCGGACACUCAGGCUUCCCCAACUCCCAAGUUCAACUUUCCUUCUGGCCCAGCCAUCUCCUCACCCAGCUGGCUUCAGGAGCCCCUGGGACAAUAGGCAGAAUCAUACUCUCCUGGGCAAAACCUUGCCAGGAGGAAUUUUCUUUUUGUCCAUAUAAAUCUCUUGUCGGUGAGGACACGAUGGGGGAGGGGUACAGCAAGAGGUCAAGGGGGAGGAGAAACUGUCCCGAGAGAACUGUAGUACAUCAGCCUAGUCUCUGCCUGCACAGCCUUGGGACCUGCCAGGCGAUGAGCUGGGGGUCAGGGACGGGGGCGGGAGGCCUCCCUGUCUCUCUUUAAUUCCUAGAGGGAUCUGUCAGAGCUCCCCGGCCUGGAAUUCUACUUUGUUAUUUUAAUGCAAUUCUGACCUGGAUUUAAAUGGAAUUGGAAACCCGAGGCCUUAAUAAAUAAAUAUUAUGAUAAGAAAUGAAAGCCAUGCAAGACGAAAGAGAUUUCACCCCAAAGAGGCAGAAACGCAACAUUCCUGUCGGGAGCCAGUCACAGAAAUUUUCUUCUCUUCUUCAGCCCCCUACCAUCCGGUGAGAGAUGAGUUGAUUUUUCCAUAAAAGAUCCUAUUUUUCUUCAACAUUUUUCCACUGAUAAGGCAUCAACUUAGAAAUGUCUAACUUUGCAUGCGGGUUGGGGGUAAGGGAAAGAAAUAUACGGCACGGCUGAAAAGUUUUCAUUAUUCCCUCAGUCUCUCCAGGCCACAGCGUAAGUUUCUGGCAAUGUUUGAGAGAAGAGAAAAUUCUCUCUCAGAUUUUGGAAGACAAGAAGUCUUUCGAAGAUGCUGGGAGUGGAUGAAGUCGAGCGGAAUUCUGAGGCGCGUGGUCUCUUCUGCCCACCGCCCCCAAGAGUUUCUCACUCCUCUCUGCCGCCCCCAGCUUGUCCGGCUUUUCGCUCGGGGCGCAGCGCCCAGCGGUCGGGCCCCUGGCCGGGGAGUCCGGGUGCACAGAGCCGGGUUCUGACAGCAGCACGCUCCCCAGCACCUGCCCUGCCCCUCGGGAAUCGCUCCUAGGCCCUGAGGCCCAGCAGCCAGGACAGCCCCCAGGCCGCGCGCCCCUCCUUCCUUACCUUGCGCGGCUUUGCUGUACUGGGCGGCGCGGGCGUGGACCAGCAGGACAAGCAGGCAGAGCCCGGGUACGCGCCCCGAGCCCAUGGCUGGAGCUACUGGCGGCCCAGCCGCCGGGGCCGGUCUCGCGGCCAGGGGAGGGCGGAAGCCGGCCGGAUCCCAGCUCGCAGGAGGGGGAGGGGAGGGGGCGCCCCGCCGGGGCCAGGCCGGGGGCUGCAGUCGCGGGGCGCGGACCGCGGCGCCCUCGGCGCGAGGCUCCCGAUGCUACCGGCUCCUCCUGGCCGGACGUCGGGGAGAGCGAGGCGGAGAGUGCGACGAGGCGAGGGGCGCCAGGGGCGACUGACGGAGGGGAACCCCCGCCCUCUCCAAGCCGGCCUCUGCCAGCGGCGGCGGCGGGGCUGCUCCGUGUAAUCCCACCCAAUUCCCAGCUUCGCCGGGAGAGAGCUGCAGCCGGAGAGCGCGCAGAGCCCGAGCGAAGGACCUGAGAAAGGGGAGGGGAAACGCAGCGCCAGAAACACGCCCUUUCUGCCUCUCUUUCUUCCUCUCUCGCUCUUUCUCCGUCUCUCAGGCUCUUUUUCUUCGCCUUUCUCCUCCUCCUCCUCUUUCUCCUCCUCUCCUCGCUCCUUUUCGUUUUCUUCCUCCUCCCCCUCCUCCUCCUCCUCCUCCUCCUCCUUCUCCACCACCUCCUUUUUCGUGCCCUUUUUUCUUUCAAAUGGGGCCUCGGCGCGGUGGCCGCUCCCCCUGCGCGCCCGGGCGCGGUGGCCCCCUCCCCAGGCUGCCGGGCCGCUGCCUGCAGGAAUUUACAAUCCGGCGAUGGGGGAGCGGGCCUGGUCUCCAUGGAGACGGCUUCCCCGGGAGCAGGGAGGUCAGGCGCAGACCGCGCGCAAUCAAUGGAUCAAUGCAAGCUCCGCUCGGCUCCAGACCAAACAGCACCGGGCUCCGACUCGUCCUCGCUCCCCUAGGAAAGAGUCGGGGAGCGAGGGUGCGUCCCCGCGCUCGCUCGCGAGGACGGCCGUGCGGCGCCAGGUUUGAACGCACACCUCCACCCGAGACAAAGAGGGUGCGAGGUGUUGGGGAGGCUGGGGCAGACGUGGACACACGGACACACGGGCACUCGGGCGUGUCCACCGACACAGCCUGACAGGGGACAUAGGACCUCGGAACACACCGCCUCCGACACCAGGCCGAGUAACAACCUCUCAACUUUUACACCUACCACACCCCCAACCUCAAGACUCAGUCCCCAUUCCUAGAUGCGAGUCCACUUUGAGGACCAAAAAGAAAGUAGCCUCCGCCUGCUAAAACUGCCAGCUCCAGGGCAGACUCCCUUGCAGUUAAGGCCUUGGAGGUAAGCCUAAUGAACCACCCUACCCGCAGAGACAUGGACUCACAUACAGACACUCUCAUGUGGUCAGCACAGGGGCGAAAGCUACCCCACAGAAUCAUGUCUAUGUGUAUAAACACAGAGACAUAGAGACAGGUACAAGAGGCUCCUCCAAACCUGCACCCCGCUUCAAGAGGUGGUCCUGACUGGUCCAUUCUGAACCCUUCAUCCUUCCAACUGAGGGGAAGCAGAGGAAAGAGAAAGGAUAUUUUUAAAACAGGGGCAAACCGCAGAAGGAGCAGGGUCUUCCAACCAUGGAUGCUGCCUCUUGACUGUUCACCCACUCUGUAUCUUCUUUCCUUCCAUUGUAAGGGAAAGAGGAAAGACCUCUUGAAAGGCUAUGAAGACUUUCUUGGAGUGUGAGGCUGUGUUCAGAAUGAGACCAGGCCAGGUCCAGUUUUCUACAGGGAAGAUGCUGCUAGGACCCAGACUAGCCUCACAGAGCCCUCAGCGUACCCAGGAGGAAGAGGCAAUGACCAAGAUCUCCUCAAAGGUGCCGCCAUCUAACAUACCAUCCUUCAGCCCUUGGUGAAGUCCUGAAGCCAGACCUCUGGGAGUCUACUCAGGGAACCCACUGCCUCAAACAAAUUUGCAAAUAAAAUUAUUGUAUUUGAAAUAGGCCCACAUUGGUGAAGUUAAGAUGUGGAACUAAUUGUAUGUGUAUUUCUAUAUAACCACAGACUCAAUGUUUGAUGUUUGACAUUUAUUGUGCACUUACUAUGUACCAGGGACUUAAAGGAUGUGGGGAUUCAAAGAUGACAUGGUUUCUCCUUUUAAGUUUAUGAUUUGGCAAGAGAAAUUCACAUCUAAAUAAUUGGAAUAUAAGGCAGAAUGUGGUAAAUGUCCAAACAUGGAGGUGCCAACAUAAAAUUCUAAUGAGGGCAUAAAGAGCACAGAUUAAUUCCAGCUGGAAGCAGGAGGACAACUCAGUGGAGGAGGAAAGGGUUUAAAGCUGACCUCAAAGAAUAUAUAGAAUUCUCAUACAUGGAGUUGGGUGAAGAGAGUGAGGGCUUUCCAGGUGGCAGGAACAACAUGAGCAAAGACUUGGAGAGGAGAAUGUCUUCAGGGAAUUAAUAAUUGGUUCAAUCAGAGACAAGUAUUUCAGAGAGUGUGGAGGAAGAUCUGAAAGGUGGGAUGGGGCUAGACAAUGAAGAGCCUGUUUCCAUCAGAUGCUAAGCGACUGACAGUGUUGCAUAGGCUCCGGGAACCCGGCAACUUUACAGCAAAGUAGCAGCAUGGCGGGCUCACUUCAUGAAUUAGCUUUAUGUGUGCUCCAGGAUUUCUUCAAUGUGUUGAUUUUUAGUGAAUUUAUUUCAUCAUGAAUGCAGGAAGAGAACAGAAAGAAAAACGGGGAAAAGAGGACAUAAAAAGAAGUGGGCUGGGCAUGGUGGCUCACACCUGUAAUCCCAGCACUCUGGGAGCCUGAGGCAGGCGGAUGACGAGGUCAGGAGAUCAAGACCAUCCUGACUAACACAGUGAAACCCCAUCUCUACUAAAAAUACAAAAAAUUAGCUGGGUGUGGUGGCGGAUGCCUGGAGUCCCAGCUACUCGGGAGGCUGAGGCAGGAGAAUGGUGUGAACCCCAGGAGGCGGAGCUUGCAGUGAGCCGAGAUUUGGCCACUGUACUCCAGCCUGGGUGACAGAGCAAGACUCCGUUUCAAACAAACAAACAAACAAAAAAGAAGUGACAGGGAGGGAAAUAAUGGACAGAAGGAAAAGAGAGAUGGAGAAGGAAGAGAGAGAAAGAGAAGGAGGCAGCCCUGGAGGAGACAAGGCAAACCCUGAACUGUUCAGGGGCCAAGCUUAAGGAGCUACUUGGGCUUUUCCAGGCAAACGACCUCUGGCUUCUUGCCCUGGCCAACCACAGAGGACAAUGUGAGGCGAGUUUGUUUGGUGAUGUGUUUUCUGCUGGCCCUGUUUGUUUGUUUUUCAUUUUUCUGGUAUUGGACAGAUCUGGGGUGAAGGAAGAGGGAGACAGGGUUGUGGCUGGCAUUGAUAGUGGUCCUUGGGCUGGGCUCUGGGCUGCCCAGAGCCCCCCUUUAGUGGGGGCUUAUGGGCAUUGGAGCUGAACUUUUGAUGUCCCUGGAAGGGGGCCUUUUUGUAGGUGCCCAGAGCCAGGUGGCCUUCCCAAGCCUGGAGAUGGUUUGCCCUAAGCUCUUUGUCUCUGUCUUUCCCCACCCUGGCAAGAAAGAAUUAGUCCUUGAGGCCUGGGCUCCUUGCCUGUGUAGCCAGGAUGUCGUGCUGGGCUGGGGAGCCCAUGGGGGUAGCAAGAGCAGCUGCUUCCAGAUUGGUGCUGGGGAACGCAGGGGCAGUCCACGAGAGCCAGCCUUCUCCCCAGCCCCGAUGAUGAGUCUGGCUUUCUCUCCCGUCCCACAGCCCUUGGAAGCCAACCUAACAAGUUCUAUUAAAGUUAAUGAAACACAAUGAUUCCUCUGUUUGCUUGGUUACAACUCAUUACGAGUUGCUCUUGCUUGCUCGGCUUUUGCAGAGGAGAUUCAUUUGAGUAGCCAGUGCUUGGCCUUUGUCCCCCUAAUUUUUACUGGCCCAUUAACAAGAUCAGACACUUUGGCUGACCAGGAAUAUCUAGUACCCAAGUCCCAACAAAACCCAUUGGGUGGAGUUUCAGAUGACCUUUUGAGUCUAAAUUAGCCUAAAAACAUGCUGCCGCCCUUCCUCCCUCUGUUGCUUCCCUAUAUCCAAACUCAGUUUUAUAUGUAGGUACAAUAGGAGUAUGCAGAGAUUUCAGAAGUUAGGAGAUGCUUUUCCAGCCUCUUUAGAAUGUAUCUCAACCCACUGAUUUAGAGAAGUUCCCUAGUAAGAGCUCCAGCUCGAUUUAAGGGCUUUCCUCCCCCAUUUAAAUGGAAAUAAACUGAACAUUGUUAGUCACUUAUACUUUGGUGUGAAUUAGUUCAUAUUGUCACUUUAAGGGGAUUUGGGAGUCUCCUAAAUUGUAUACAAACUUUUGUCCACAUUAUCCAUUCUUCCAGAGAGAGGUUUUCUAUAGCUUUCUUCAAAAUUUCCAUAACCGUCCCCCCACCCCCUACCCCAACACGUACACACACACACACACAAACUCUCUCUCUCUCAAAAGGUUAACAACCUCUGUGUUAGUAGAAGAGUGGGCCGUAACUGGGGCACAGAAGACAAACUCUCCUUCCUUCACCAUCUGCUUGGCCAGUCCUGCCUCUAAGGAGGGACCUUCCCCUCCUCCUUGAGUUCCUUAUCCACAGACCUCCCAUUGUCACCACAGCUCAAUCAUGUGCUUCCCAAAUCUUAAAACCAACCUCAAGUUGGUGGGGAGGAGUCAAAAGGAGAGCCCUUGAACUCUAUGUUGAUUUACAUGCCGAGGCUGUAAAUGAUAGGUUUACAUGCUGGUGUAAAUACUCAUAAACUCGCAGUAAGUGCAGGGCAUCACAUGCUUUCAGUGUCCAGAUCCUCUGCAGCCCGUACAGGCCUGGCAUUCUCAGGGUCAGGGAGGAGAGCGCCGAGUUGGCAGCAGCUAGCAUGACAGGGGCUGACUAUGACUAUGGAGGAAAAGGGCGUGCUUGGAGUUGGUCUCUAAACCCUCAUCCUCUCCCAUACAGCAGGUGGCUUCUGCACAGUGAUACCUUGGCAUGACUCCCCCUGCUGCUCAGCCAGCCUGACUGUUCUUUUGGGUUAAAGCAUUGUCUCCAGAAGGUCCCUGUUAAAAUGCAAAGGGGCUUCUUGCAGGGUGACUUGGGCUGGUUGGCUGACUGGCUGUCACUCAACAGAAAACAGAGACCCCAGAUCAGGGAGGUUAAGGUUUGGGAGAAAGGUUCAGGUGGGUCAAUACUAUAGCUAUAUGAAGUUGAUUUAAAUGGCUUUCCAGGUGUUCUCCCUAAUUCCACUCUUGGGGGCUGAGAAUCUAUCCUUCAUAUGGCAGCCAGAGUCGUUUUAAAGCUGGGCCAUACAACCUCAACGUGAUUGACGUUUGUUGGGGGGCCAUCCUAUGCAUUGUAGCACAUUUAGCAGCAUCCCUGGCCUCUACCCACUAGGUGCCAGCAGCAGCACUCCCUCCCCACGUUGCGACAGCCAAAAAUGUCUACAGACAUUGACACAUGUCCCCUGGGGGAGGGGAGUGAAAUCAUACCCCCUAUCUUCACUUCCCCCUGCCCCACUGAGAAUCUCCAUCAUAAAGUGUAAGUCAGCCCAUGUUACUCCCUGGUCAAAAAUCCUACCAUGUCUUCUCAUUGUUCUGAGCAUGAAAUCCGCCGUUUGGCCCAGCCUUCAAGGCCUUGUGUAGUCCAGCCUUGCCUCCCUCUCCUGCCCCACCUUGUACCCCUCUGCUGUCAUCUACCAUCACCCUUUAGCCACAUAUAACCCUUUUUGACAUACCUCGAUAAACCAAGCUCUUUCUUGGACAGGGUGGAAGAUGGAGAGAUAUGGGCAGAUUUAGAGUAAGUUUCAGAGGCCCUAAUUUCUUUGGAUUUUACUGGGAGGCCUUUUCUUUUCGCUUUUUUGAGAUGGAGUUUAACUCUUGUCGCCCAGGCUGGAGUACAAUGGCGUGAUCUCGGCUCACUGCAACCUCUGCCUCCUGGUUUCAAGCAAUUCUCCUGAUUCAGCCUCCUGAGUAGCUGGGAUUACAAGCGCUUGCCACCAUGCCCGGCUAAUUUUUGUAUUUUUUAGUAGAGACAGGGUUUCACCAUGUUGGCCGGGCUGGUCUUGAACUCCUGAUCUCAGAACGUAAGCUCCAUCAGAGCAGGGACCAUGUCUGGCUUGUUCACUAUCGUGUCCUCAUCAUCUCCUGUACUGCCUGCCACAUGAACAAUGGCCAUUAACAGGCAUGGAACUGGAGCAGAAAUGGAAUGAACCCUAGGGGCCUGGGAGCCUGGAGGGGUGUAGGAGUGGGGAGGGGAUUGGGGAGACAGGCGGCAGAGGAAAGCGCCUGCCCUCGCCUCCUCCCAUCACCCCCUAUACCCCUGUCCCUAAUGAGGUGCUUCUGGCGGCACCUGACUUUUCCAUUGCAAACACCACUUGACUCUCGGCCCUUCACACUCUCAUGAGGUUCUAAGGGGCUGCACAGGCGCCGCCCACCCCAGCCAUGCCCUGGGACUCACCACACACCAGGAAGGCCGGGAGCUGCAGCAAGGGGACAGCUUAAAACAGCCCCACCAACACCCCAAAGUGGGUCUCCCAGUUCCCCGAGAAGGCCUGGAUGCCCUGCUGAAGGGUGAGCAGGGCCAUGUGGGUGACUUGGAGGACCCAAUUCCCCGGCCAUGGGAACCCCCAGCCUGGGCUUUCUUUGGGGGUAGCUGAGACAACGAGCCCCCACCCAGAGCAGGAGAUGACGCAUUUUUUCUGUGGCCACAAGCCACUUUGACGGGUCCGCCCCACUGGGGAGCAACCGAAACCUCAUCCCACCCAAAGCGGCCUUUGUCUGCACUACAUAUUUGUCUUAUUUGGAAGAUUUUUGUGGGUUUUCCUGUCUUUCUCCAGCGCUCACUGCCCUAAGGGGGACGAAGGCCAUGGCGGAGCUGAGGGAAGGGGGUGAGAGGCAUUCUUGGGGCGCUGUGCCUGGUGGUCUGCAGCACAUUUGGGGGUGGGAGAGAAAUCCACCCCACACACCCUCGGCGCCCCAGUGAUGCCUUGGCCCCAGGCCACACUCUGGGCCUUGCCUGUCCUCUGUGGACUCGUGCCCCUCCUGGUCCUCCCAGAGCUGUUUCCUCUCCAUCUUCUCUCAGCCUCCUCAGCUCACUCUCCAAUACUUCUGUUUAUUCCCUCAUGUUCCAUCCUUCCAGCCAGCUUGGCACCUCAUCAUUUCCUACCUCCCCCGUCAUGGGACCCUCUGCUUUCUUUCUACCUGUCUGAAUUCUGAAGACUCUCCCAGGGCUUGUUCCCCCAUCUUGCCUCCUCCUGGGAGCCUCCCUGGACUACUGUAGCGCUUGGCAGGAUCUCCUCCUUCUGAAAUGUAAAAGUAUGUGUUUUCUAUCCUUUCUGUGAUUCUAAACACACCCUGCCCCUAUACCACCUGCCCAGCUAAAUAGAGGCCAGAGGCCAUGGCUUUUGUGCCUUGGCGUCCAAGCCCCAUCCUGCCUUGUACAAAGCAAUUGCUCAACUAAUAUUUGUUGGUUUGGGGCUUCUUAAGGGCUACCCAUGAGAUUACCAACAAAUUAGAGAAUUUCAGUGAUGGAAGGGACCUAAGAGCUUGAAUUCUUGCUAAGGGGUGUCUGGGUUCAGCUUACAUACCUUUAAUGACAGGGAUCUUACCACUUCCUGGGGCAACCCAUUCCCUUGCCUGUAACUCUGACCAUAAGAAAGUUCUUCCCCACGUUGAGCUAAAACCUGCUGCCUUCUGGCUUUCCCCACCCUACUCCCAACUAGGUCACAUCAAACUAUUCCAGUCCUCUUUCCUCACGACCACCCUUCAGAUAUUUGAGGGCAGCAAUCUCCUACCUCUGCAGUCUUUUCUUUUCCAGGGGGAAACACCUGUAGUCCUAACCUUCAGUGCCCCAAUGCCCCUGAUGACCAUGGACUUUGGGUAUUCCCCCCCACCCCUGUGCUGGGCCUCUCCCACAUCCCUGCUGAACUCAUUCUUCUCACAAAAUCCCC